rnacentral:rRNA from 1 species
GACGAACGCUGGCGGCGUGCUUAACACAUGCAAGUCGAACGGAAAGGCCCUGCUUUCGUGGGGUGCUCGAGGCGAGAGGGGGUGUGAAACGCGAGAGUAACCUGCCUUAGAUUCUGGGAUAACUUCACGAAAGUGGGGCUAAUACCGGAUAGUAGCUCCUGCCGCCUGGGGGGGGUUGGAAAGUUUCGGCGGUUGGGGAUGGGCUCGCCGCUGAUCCGCUUGUCGGUGGGGUAGUGGCUUACCAUGGCUUUGACGUGUCGCCGGCCUGAGCGGGUGACCGGCCACCGGGGGACAGUGAUACGGCACGCAGUAGUGGGGGAGAGAGCAGAAGGGGAGAAAGCAUGAUGGACGGAAGCCGGAUGCGGCAACGACGCGUGCGGGAUGAAGACCUUUGUGGUGUGGGAAGAUGGCACUGGUUUUGUGGUGGUGUUGAGGGUAAUUGGAGAAGAAGCGCCGGCUAACUACGUG